AACAGGAAUCAGAUCUCAGUGAGAGUUAGAAGAAAGGAGUGGAAGAAGAAAAUAAAGUUAAUGAAAGAUUACUAAAUUGGAAAGAAGAUUAGGAGAAUGCUGAAGAGCCUAAUUUACAUGGAUUUCAGAAAAUUAUCUGGCAGUCUCUCAUGCUCUCCUUGUAAACAUAUUGAAGAUAACACAGAAAUUGUCAUAUUCACUCCAAUCUUCACCAACCACAAUCAUAAACAGCAACCUUCAACAAUGAAGCAAGACCCUCCACUAGCAAGAAGAUUAUAAUUGUUGAAAGCUCAGCUGAUGGGUUAGUGUUCUUUUUAGCAAUAAAGUAUUUUUAAAUUAAGGUUAUAUGCA
rnacentral:lncRNA from 1 species